UACAGCCACAUCAGGCUGAAUCACUAGUUCCCGUAUGAUCACCAAAGUUAAGCAACAUCAAGCCUGGUUAUACCUCAAUAGGUGACCACUUGAGAAUACCAGGUGCUGUAAG